rnacentral:rRNA from 1 species
CCUACGGGAGGCAGUAGUAGGGAAUCUUCGACAAUGGGCGAAAGCCUGAUGGAGCAACGCCGCGUGGGUGAAGAAGGUCUUCGGAUCGUAAAACCCUGUUGUUAGAGAAGAAAGUGCGUGAGCGUAUCUGUUCACGUUUCGACGGUAUCUAACCAGAACGCCACGGCUAACUACGUGCCCGCAGCCGCGGUAAUACGUAGGUGGCAAGCGUUGUCCGGUUUUAUUGGGCGUAAAGGGAGCGCAGGCGGUCUGUUAAGUCUGAUGUGAAAGCCUUCGGCUUAACCGGAGUAGUGCAUUGGAAACUGGGAGACUUGAGUGAAGAAGAGGAGGGUGGAAUGCGAGGUGUAGCGGUGAAAUGCGUAGAUAUAGGGAAGAACACCAGUGGCGAAGGCGGCUCUCUGGUCUGUAACUGACGCUGAGGUUCGAAAGCGUGGGUAGCAAACAGGAUUAGAUACCCGGGUAGUC